AGAGAGAGAAAGAGAGAGCGAGAGAGAGGAGAAGGGGCGGAAUUAUAGACUGAUUAUCCUAUGCAGCGUAGUAAUAGGCGGAAUGCUGAAAGUUCACUUCAACCAACUCGAGCUCUUGGUGAAUGAACCUUCGAGCUGAGAUAGUAACCACUUCCUUGCCCUGUUCCUAAGAGAGAAUGGAAAUGCUCUUAGGCGAAUGACAUCUCUAGCAACUCCAUUCAUUUUGAAUAUAUCACAUAAAGCAAGGAAACAAUGGAGAUGGAAAUGUGGAUCUUGUAAUGGAAAAUCCCUAAACUAGUUUCAAUUCGAAGUUGUUAACGGCAACUAUAGGUCGUGUCACUCUUGGUUGAAAUCCUUGAAUGUU
rnacentral:misc_RNA from 1 species